AGAGUUUGAUCAUGGCUCAGGGUGGACGCUGGCGGCGUGCCUAACACAUGCAAGUCGAGCGACGAACUCGGGAAAUUUUAUUUUCGGAUAGAAUUUCCCGGGGGAAAGUGGCGGACGGGUGAGUAACACUUAAGUAACCUCCCCCUUGGACCGGAAUAAUCCGCUGAAAGGCGGACUAAUACCGGAUAAUCUUUUUUAGUGGAUUCACUUUAAAAGCAAAGGUCUGUUGCAAAACAGGCUGUCGAGGGAUGGGCUUGAGUCCUAUCAGCUAGUUGGUAGGGUAACGGCCUACCAAGGCGAAGACGGGUAGCUGGUCUUAGAGGACGACCAGCCACACGGGGAUUGAGACACGGCCCCGACUCCUACGGGAGGCAGCAGUGAGGAAUAUUGGACAAUGCCCGCAAGGGUGAUCCAGCGACGCCGCGUGAGUGAUGAAGGCCUUCGGGUCUUAAAACUCUGUCAAACGGGGAGAAUCCGCUUAGGCGGAAGACGGUACCGUUAAAGGAAGCCCCGGCUAAUUCCGUGCCAGCAGCCGCGGUAAUACGGGAGGGGCAAGCGUUACCCGGAUUUAUUGGGUGUAAAGGGUCCGCAGGCGGUUAAGCGUGUCAGUUUUGAAAUACUCUGGCUCAACCAGAGAAUUGGAACUGAAACUGUUUAACUUUGAGUUCAGAGGGGGGAAACGGAACUGCCAGUGUAGCGGUGGAAUGCGUAGAUAUUGGCAGGAACACCAGUAGCGAAGGCGGUUUCCUACUCUGAAACUGACGCUCAGGGACGAAAGCGUGGGGAGCGAUCGGGAUUAGAUACCCUAGUAGUCC
rnacentral:rRNA from 1 species